AAUCAACGCUGGCGGCGUGCCUCAGACAUGCAAGUCGAACGAUUAAAGCUCUCUUCGGAGAGUGCAUAGAGUGGCGCACGGGUGAGUAACACGUAAGUAAUCUACCUUCGAGUGGGGAAUAACGUCCGGAAACGGACGCUAAUACCGCAUAAUAGCAGCGGCAUCGCAAGAUGACAGUUGUUAAAGGAGCAAUCCGCUUGAAGAGGAGCUUGCGGCAGAUUAGCUUGUUGGUAAGGUAACGGCUUACCAAGGCUACGAUCUGUAUCCGGUCUAAGAGGAC
rnacentral:rRNA from 1 species